GACGAACGCUGGCGGCGGGCUUAACACAUGCAAGUCGAACGGAAAGGCCCUGCUUGCGUGGGGUGCUCGAGUGGCGAACGGGUGAGUAACACGUGAGUAACCUGCCCUUCACUUUGGGGUAGGUUCAGGAAACUGGGGCUAAUAUCGGAUAGGAGCUCCCGCUGCAUGGAGGGGGUUGGAAAUUUUCGGCUGUUGGGGCUGGACGCGCGGCUUAUCAGCUUGUUAGUCGGCUAGUGGCAUACCAAGGCUGGGACGGAUCGGCGGCACGUGAGGGUGACCGGGCACAAUAGGACUGAGAGAGGGCGCAGAGUCGAACAGGGGACAACAGUGGGAAGUAUUGCCCAAUGAGCGGGCGUGUGAGGCAGCAACGCCGCGUGUGGGAUGACGGCCUGCGGGUUGUAAACCGCUUUCGCCUGUUACGCCGCGUGAGUGACGGUACUGGGUGAAGAAGCACCGGCUAACUACGUG
rnacentral:rRNA from 1 species